rnacentral:tRNA from 2 species
GGGGAUGUAGCUCAGUUGGUAGAGCGCCUGCUUUGCACGCAGGAGGCCAGGGGUUCGAAUCUCCUCAUCUCCA